rnacentral:lncRNA from 1 species
GGAGCAGCCAGGACUUGAACCGGUGCCCAUUUGGGAAGCCGGCACUGCAGGUGGCAGCUUUACCUGCUAUGCCACAGCACCGGCCCCCUCUCAGCACAAUUCUUAAUCAACUCCUUUCUGCAGAAAUAGCCCAUGAUCAUUAAACAGUACAGGAAAGAGGGGAGGAGAAAUGACUUUCACUGUGGAGAAUGGGCAUGGGGCAUGGAAUUACAGUACAGGAUCUGUUGGUGUGAAUAAGUCCUAAUAAACAGUAAAUCAUCUUCUCAAUUUUUCUCUGAAUAUCAAACAAAAGUAGCUCAAAGGCCAGCAGGCAAAGGAGUCCCUGUCAUCCAGUGGAUACUAGGCAUUCCGUAUUGAACAGGACACACCACUUACCUAUGCCGCUCUCUCUACCCUCCUACCAGUAAGUUUGUGCUCUGCAGCCGGGGGUGGAUUGUGUCAUUCAGAAGCAUAAUCAUUUGGUAAAUGAGGUCAGAAACUGAAGCCGUCUCUCCAGCCUUCUUGUCUAUGCAAAAUCCUCCAAGCAUUUCCCUGAGCCCUCGUGUGUGUGAACAUUCCUGGGCUUGUUCUCCUUCAGGGCUCCAUGACCAUCCAGCCGGUCUGUACUGGGGCAAGGCCAGGGCCUUCCUGCCCUCAACUCUGCCAUCCCAGCGCUGCAGGUGCAGCCGAGCAAGAGAACACAUGGCUCCCAGCCCCUUCGUCUCCAACACAUCGAUGUCUCCAAGCAGAGAGCUGUGAAGACCGCCCACUCCACAGAGCCAAAGAGCAGGGAUCACUCAUGGCGGCAACACAGGAUGGAAGCCGUACAUAGGACAUGGUGAUUAAGACCACAAGCUCUAGUCAAACGUACUUUGGUCUGAAUCCUGUUUUUCCGCAUUUCUAUGACUUGGGGCAAAUUACUCAACCUCUCAAAAAUCUCCAUUUCUUCAUGUGAAAACAAGGACAAGAGUAAUUCAUGAGGUUGCUGUGUAGAUUAAAUCGGGUAAGCCUAGAACAAUGCGGGCUGGCACAGAGUAAAAUCUAAAUAAAUGACAGCAGAAUUUAGUAAUAAAUACUUUU